UACGUAGGGGGCGAGCGUUGUCCGGAAUUAUUGGGCGUAAAGAGCUCGUAGGCGGUUCGGCAAGUCACGUGUGAAAUCUCCACGCUCAACGUGGAGGCGCCACGUGAGACUGCUGUGACUCGAGUCCGGUAGGGGAGCGUGGAAUUCCCGGUGUAGCGGUGAAAUGCGCAGAGAUCGGGAGGAACACCCGUAGCGAAGGCGGCGCUCUGGGCCGGUACUGACGCUGAGGAGCGAAAGCGUGGGGAUCAAACAGG
rnacentral:rRNA from 1 species